UACGGAAGGCAGCAGUGGGGAAUAUUGCACAAUGGGCGAAAGCCUGAUGCAGCUAUGCCGCGUGUAUGAAGAAGGCCUUAGGGUUGUAAAGUACUUUCAUCGGGGAGGAAAAACAAAACUAAUAAUUUUAUUUCUUGACGUUACCCGAAAAAGAAGCACCGGCUAACUCCGUGCCAGCAGCCGCGGUAAUACGGAGGGUGCUAGCGUUAAUCAGAAUUACUGGGCGUAAAGAGCACGUAGGUGGUUUUUUUAAGUCAGAUGUGAAAUCCCUGGGCUUAACCUAGGAACUGCAUUUUGAAACUGAAAUACUAGAGUAUCGUAGAGGGAGGUAGAAUUCUAAGUGUAGCGGUGAAAUGCGUAGAUAUCUGGAGGAAUACCUGUGGCGAAAGCGGCCUCCUAAACGAAUACUGACACUGAGGUGCGAAAGCGUGGGGAGCAAACAGGGAUUAGAUACC
rnacentral:rRNA from 1 species